GUUGUGUCUUUGCCUCAUUGCCCCCAAAGGAGUUUGCUUGGCUGCCGACCAGCCUCCAAAGUCCGGUGACCAGCGACUGUGAUAGUGGUCCACAUGCGCCAUAUCUGUUUCAUGCGUUAGCGAGUGACGGCGCAUCUGUCAGAUUUUGGACCUUCAGUCACCUCCCACAGCGUCGCCCCUACAUCCUCCCAUUCUCGUGUGCUAUUGGUUGGUUCGGGUUGGUCUCAAGUGCUCCAAGUCUUGGUAUCUUCGGUUCUACUCUUCUGCUUUGGGUUUUGCUUUCCUGUUUUGGCAACCCAAGUUUGUUUCAAGGACUUUUGGCUUCUAUAAUUUUUUUUGCUUUUUGGCAUUAUUUUGCUGAGGAUUGGGCAAUUCAAUUGAGUGAUUUUUUGCUUUUUAGGUUGUUGAAUGUACUGCUCUCUGCAAUUCUCGAGUCAGUGCUUUUGAAGUAUUUUUUUUUUUCUUUUGGUUAUUUGUCUGGGUUCUUAGUGCUCUGAGCUAUUUUUGGAUUUUUUUGGCUCUCUAAUUUGGGUGCGUUUGUCAAUUUUUUGGCUUUCGAGACUCACGUAAGAGCUGUUUCUUCAAUUUUUGGCACUUGGUCAUUAAUUCCCUUGGUUAAUUUGUGUUUAUUUCAAUAUUGUAUGAUAUAUUUGUGGGUGUUGGGCCUAGUGACCUGUACUGCAACCCUUUGAUUAAGGUUAUUGCUGGAUUUCUUUCUUCGAUUCAGGGAAGUCAUUUUGUUUUAAAAUUUUGUUGGGUGUAUUGCUGAUUUUGAAUUUGAAGAGGGGACUCAAGCCCCUUUGAGUUACUCCUCAUUUUGAAAAACUCCCUUGAUGGUUUGUUGAAGUUUGGAUAGCUACUGUAUUCUAGCCAUAUGCGCUAUUUGGUUAAAGAUUUGCCUACUUUUUUGGUGUUUACUCGUUGGUAUCGCCUUUAGAGAGGGAAGUGCAUUUUUUAUUUUUGGCAUUCAAGCCUUUGUGUAGGUGUUUAUGAAUCUGCCUUGUGAGCUGUUUUGAAGAGUUAUUGGCUUCAAUGAGAAUUUCAUUGAGAAGUGUUGGAGUUGAUGAGAUUCCAUUUUAAGUGGAAUUAUUAUGGAAAGUCCAGUGUUAUCAAGGCGAAAGG
rnacentral:misc_RNA from 1 species